rnacentral:rRNA from 1 species
CCCUUAGAUGUUCUGGGCCGCACGCGCGCUACACUGACGAAUGCAACGAGCUUAUAACCUUGGCCGAAAGGUCUGGGUAAUCUCCAAAUUUCGUCGUGAUGGGGAUAGAUUAUUGCAAUUAUUAAUCUUCAACGAGGAAUGCCUAGUAAGCGCAAGUCAUCAGCUUGCGUUGAUUACGUCCCUGCCCUUUGUACACACCGCCCGUCGCUCCUACCGAUUGAAUGGUCCGGUGAAGCCUCCGGAUUGGCGCGCACCUCGGUGCCGCCGAGAAGUUGGCUAAACCUUACCAUUUAGAGGAAGGUGAANUCGUAACA